UUGUAUCAUAGACAUGGAUAUUUUCAAGACUGAUCACUCUACGAUCAUUUGACAGCACUACGAGCGUAGUCUUCUUUGACGGCUUGUCUUGUGGAGUUCUGCUCCCGUAUUGAGUUCCUCAUCUUUGAUGCUCGAUGAUCCUCUGUGGUGAGCUUCCUUGAGGAUUUUUCUAUUAUGACAUGCUUUGCAUGAUUGAGCAUCUAAGACCCUUUUUCAUCUCUAGUUGAAUGGCCUACUUCUAUAUAAAGAUCAGCAACCAUGUGAGCUUUAUUCAGAUCAGCUCGGCAGGUCUUCAAGGACAGUCUUUGACAUAUAGGAGUUAUCAGAAUCAUUUCUGACCAGUCUUAAGCCUUCUGCUGGUUGAGUCUUUCUAUGACUGAAGUCUUCUUCUUCAUCAUUCCUUAGUGUGGUCAGAUAGACCAAGUACCUGUAGGUUAGAUAUGUUUCUAUUUUGGUACCUAUAGUUAAAUGGGUCCUGCCAGGUUAGUUUCAAAAACCCUAUUCCUCAUAUAUUAGAGUUAACA
rnacentral:lncRNA from 1 species